rnacentral:lncRNA from 1 species
CUGUCUCAAGAUCACAAAUAAUACAUUUUGUACAUUCAUAUUAUGAAUGUACAUGCAAUGAAGGCACAAAAAUUAUGCAUUCAACAGACAUUCAGCAAACAGAGAAAUACAAAACCACAAACACACUUUUUCGAUUUGCCAGGUGAAUUCUACGACAUGUUUGUUACGUUAUGGGAUUCUACAUAUGAAUUUCGACUAAUACUUCACCAACAGUAAUUUAUAUGGAUGCACCAAUCUCUUCUCUUUAUAUCCAUGCAUUGUAUAAUAAUUGGAAUGAACCAGUUCAAAAGAUACAAUCGACUAAAGCAACCCACCAUGGAUCACAUUCUCCCAUUGAUGGAAAAAAACUUUAUUUGACCCCCACCAUACAAAUGGGCCUGUUGAAAAAAUGCUACACCACAAUUUGAAGUGACACCCACCAUAAAACUGCUCAGGAGAGGUUGCCCGAACACAAUAUGCAUUCAGACCUUGUAUGUGGUGUGGGUUGAGCAAGACCUUAUUUUAAGGCCGAUAUGGGAAAUAGCUCCUUGACUAUUUCAUCGAUUACCUGUUCCAUCCAUACAUUUCCUUCUGUGGCCUUUUCUGAACAAGUUAUCAAACUAAUGAAGAUAUCAAUGUAUUUAAUCUUUAAUAUUUCUGUUGUUUGUUUUUUAUCCAAAGACUCCUCAGAAGAGGUGCUCCUUCCUGCUCACCUGAAACCAUCCCACCGGUUGGAACGUAAGUUGCCAAGAUUCUUGUCUUUCAUUACAAAUUAUUCCAAACUUUGUCUGAACUACAUGUUCUUCACGUGCAUCAUGUCCCAUUUUGUCUGUGCCUCAGAAGUGUUGAGGACAAAUAUAUAUUUUGCUGAACUCAAAUCCAGAGAAGCAGCAAACAAAUCUUCCAGAAGUUUCAGUGACGGCGACUGGAGAAGAUGUGAUGUUUGGCAGUGGAUCCAUCAUCACUCCGUCGUACAAGCUCCAGGAAUGAAAGAUGAAACAUCAGACUCUUACAUACGGCUGAUCCAAGAUUUAAAAACAUAAACAUCAGUCUCUAGAAGUACAGCAUCCUUCAGCUGAGACCCAGUGUACGAGUUGUACUUCGAUGAACCAGUGUACGAGUUGUACCUCGAAGACCCAGUGUACUCGUUGUACCUCGAUGAACCAGUGUACGAGUUGUACCUCGAAGACCCAGUGUACUCGUUGUACCUCGAUGAACCAGUGUACGAGUUGUACCUCGAUGACCCAGUGUACGGGGGGGGGGGGGGGGGGGGGGGGGGGGGGGGGGGGGGGGGGGGGGGGGGGGGGGGGGGGGGGGGGGGGGGGGGGGGGGGGGGGGGGAACCGAAAUCUCUUCUCCUUUCAAAUCAUAUAAUGUUCAAGUCAAAGGAAUGGUGUCGAAAAUAUUGUUAUGAAAAUGGCUCCGAGGGGAUUACAAAACCUGUAAAAAUUUCAAAAGUUUGUACAUUUGUUUGUUGUUCUUUCAUCCACGAACUGAAGCACCCAGAGACCCCGAAUUUUAGGUGUACUCACGUGAGAAUCUCGGCAAGGUUGUAAAUGAACGUAUUUUGACCUGAAAGGUCGUUUCGGCUCCUCACCUUCUUUGGGAAUGGGGGGGGU